rnacentral:rRNA from 1 species
GAACUUUCCAGAGAUGGAUUGGUGCCUUCGGGAACUCUGAGACAGGUGCUGCAUGGCUGUCGUCAGCUCGUGUUGUGAAAUGUUGGGUUAAGUCCCGCAACGAGCGCAACCCUUAUCCUUGUUGCCAGCGGUUAGGCCGGGAACUCAAAGGAGACUGCCAGUGAUAAACUGGAGGAAGGUGGGGAUGACGUCAAGUCAUCAUGGCCCUUACGAGUAGGGCUACACACGUGCUACAAUGGCGCAUACAAAGAGAAGCGACCUCGCGAGAGCAAGCGGACCUCAUAAAGUGCGUCGUAGUCCGGAUUGGAGUCUGCAACUCGACUCCAUGAAGUCGGAAUCGCUAGUAAUCGUGGAUCAGAAUGCCACGGUGAAUACGUUCCCGGGCCUUGUACACACCGCCCGUCACACCAUGGGAGUGGGUUGCAAAAGAAGUAGGUAGCUUAACCUUCGGGAGGGCGCUUACCACUUUGUGAUUCAUGACUGGGGUGAAGUCGUAACAAGGUAGGCGUAGUGCU